UGGGGAAUUUUGGACAAUGGGCGAAAGCCUGAUCCAGCAAUGCCGCGUGUGUGAAGAAGGCCUUCGGGUUGUAAAGCACUUUUGUCCGGAAAGAAAUCCUUGGCUCUAAUACAGUCGGGGGAUGACGGUACCGGAAGAAUAAGCACCGGCUAACUACGUGCCAGCAGCCGCGGUAAUACGUAGGGUGCAAGCGGUUAAUCGGAAUUACUGGGCGUAAAGCGUGCGCAGGCGGUUUGCUAAGACCGAUGUGAAAUCCCCGGGCUCAACCUGGGAACUGCAUUGGUGACUGGCGGGCUAGAGUAUGCAGAGGGGGGUAGAAUUCCACGUGUAGCAGGUGAAAUGCGUAGAGAUGUGGAGGAAUACCGAUGCGAAGGCAG
rnacentral:rRNA from 1 species